GAUGAACGCUGGCGGCGUGCCUAACACAUGCAAGUAGAACGCUGAGGGCCGAGCUUGCUCUUCCGGAUGAGUCGCGCACGGGUGUGUAACGCGUAUGUACCCUGCCUUGCAGCGGGGUAAAACUAUUGGACACGAUAGCUAACACCGCAUGACAACACUUAUUGCAUGAUAACUGUUUAAAUGGGUCAACUGCUCCACUACCACAUGGCCCUGCGUUGUAUUAGCUGGUUGGUGAGGUAACGGCUCUGCAAGGCGUCGAGACAUAGCCGACCUGAGCGGGGGAGCCGCCACGAGGGGACUGAGACACGGCUCAGGCCUCUGCGGGAGGCCGCAGUAGGGAAUCUUCGGCAAGUGGCGGAAGUCGGACCGAGGGACGCCGCGUGAGUGAAGAAGGGUGUCGGAUCGUAGAGGUCUGUUGUGUGGGAAGAACGAGUGUGAGAGGAGGAAGUUCACGCUGUGACGGUAUCGGACGAGAAAGCAACGGCUAACUACGUG
rnacentral:rRNA from 1 species